rnacentral:rRNA from 1 species
UACGGAGGAUCCAAGCGUUAUCCGGAAUCAUUGGGUUUAAAGGGUCCGUAGGCGGUUUGGUAAGUCAGUGGUGAAAGCCCAUCGCUCAACGGUGGAACGGCCAUUGAUACUGCCAGACUUGAAUUAUUAGGAAGUAACUAGAAUAUGUAGUGUAGCGGUGAAAUGCUUAGAGAUUACAUGGAAUACCAAUUGCGAAGGCAGGUUACUACUAAUGGAUUGACGCUGAUGGACGAAAGCGUGGGUAGCGAAACAGG